CAGGAUUCAGGUAUAUGGGAGGUAGGAUAAAUGAAGAUCCUUGAAACCGAUCGAUGGAGCUACGAUGAGGAGUUGUGGCUAAUUGGAACGUAAAAGGAUUUAUGAUAUACACAACCUCAAGAGAAGUGAUAUAUAAUGAUAUCUAUCUAUGGCCAUUUUGUUUUUACUUAUUUUGAAGGUCUAACGUUUGGGAUUAGGUCAUAGAUAG
rnacentral:misc_RNA from 1 species